rnacentral:lncRNA from 11 species
UAUAUGAAACUGUGUUCGAGAUAAACCAUGACUUCGCCUCUUUCUUCGCUGGGGAAGAUUCGUAGAAUGCCACUCCAGAUGCAAAAAUCUAGGAAAAAGACUGCACACAUCAAAGAAAGUAUCCAGAAUGAGGAUGAACUUGCUAUGAUGGAUAAAAUCCUUGGGCCCGGUGCUCAGAUUCCAGUAUCUUCCUGUUCAAAAGGAACUUCAAGCCAAUCAGCGGCGGCUCCCAGUGACAUGGAACUGAUGACCUCCAUGAUGCAGAAGAUCACUUCUUUGGAACACAAAGUCAAGCAACAAGCGCAAGCAAUCCAGCACCGGGAGAAGAAGAUCAAAGAGCUUGAGGAGGAGAUACAAGUCGUUCAGAAAGGGAGCGGUACCUUACUUCCCUUUAUUGUGCCUUUUCUCCCCCUCAACAAUAUUCAUGUGUUGUUAGGGAUGGAACCUGAAUGCCACUCUUCAGCUGUGAACAUGUGGUUGUGUCAGUAAGAAAUCUUGCUGUAAAUGGUGAGAUGUCCUUGUAGGAAAGGCUGUUAUUGCUGCAGUUUAUCAGAUCUCUGUGAGCAGAUUAAUCUGGGAGAUGAAAUCCAAUCGUUGCCUUUUCCCUUUUGAGACAGAACAUUAACUGAGGACAGAGAUUAUGUCUGCACUUUUUGCAAUUUGAUAUGUAAGUAAUAUGGAAAACUUCAAACCUCUUCCCUUUCGCCAGUAGCGAAAUAGUUUGACAUCAGAUUGGAUCAACGCGUUUG